GGCACGGGGAGCGGGAGCGGCGGGACCGGGAGCAUCCUUCGCUCCCUCCAUCCCUCCCUCCCUGCACGCGCAGGGAUGCUCCCGCCAGGCUGGCACAGAACUUUUUGCUGGCUAACGCGGCUGGAGCUGAAGCUCCUUUCGCCUUCCCCAGGCUGAUGCUGCUCCCGUGUCCUGAGCAACAAACUGCAGCGGGUUGUUUUAUUGAUCCCAGACAGGAAUGACUUGCUCUCUAAACUACAACUUAAAGGAUGCUGCUUGCAUAACAAGUGGGAAGAGUUGGGAUCUUACAUACUAAUUAUCCGUCACCUUUUAGGCUCAGCAAAAGAGGGUUUGUGGGUUUUUUGCAAGGAGGGUUGAUAAAGCCGCCUGAUGUCUUGUAGCCACGUCUUCAUUUCCACUGGCUGGAUUAAUGUGGGCAAAGGAUUAAGAGCCAGCACGUCGAUGAGGCACCCGGAGGUGCAGGGAAGCAGGGGAACGUUCGGCUGGGGAGAGAAGUCAGUUUUUGUGUUUGUGCUGGCAUAUCCUCCCGUUUCCGUGGCUCAGUCCAGGACCUGCAUCCCAGCCGAUAAAUCCCUGAGGUGAGAGCAGGGACUGGUGUAAGGCUCCGGUUCUAACGCUCGUGCUGCUCCCAAGGUCCUUCCUGACACGUUGUCCAGCACGGUGGGCAGAGCUGCCCUCCCACCCGCCGUGGGGCCGGAGGUGCUGUGACCCAUCCCAGUGGCAUCGUGGCUGUGGGAGCCCCUUCCCCAGUCCCUCUGGCUCCCUGCAGCAGCUCCAGCCCGGCUGUGCAGGUGAUGCUCUGGCCGCACCGUGGCCGGUACCGAUCGUGGGCAGCGGGGGGGGUCUGCACUUGGGGCCAGCCGGGUGGUCCCUCCAGAAGCCUUUUCUGCUGCUUCCCUGGCCAGGACACUGGUUUUUAUUCUUUUCUGGACCCGAGGAGCUGCAUUUUUACCCCGCGUUUGUAAGUCCCUGAAAACUGCUGAAAUGGCUCUCGAAUAAUCCUUCCAAGUCACCUCCCCUCUUUAAUCUAAGACCAAAAGGACUUACUUUACAUGGCUAAUCCCUCUUUUACUUGCUGUACAGCCUCGUUUAGAGGUGUGCACACUGCUAAUUUUCCUCAAGCAGGCUGCUCUAGACAAGGGCUUCCACUGGCGUGCAGCAACCUCUCCCUCCUGUGCUGAACUCUGGGCAGAGCUGAAUCCCUCUGACAAGAUUUUACUUCAUUUCAGGAAGGGUCAAGUGAACGAACCCUUCUCAGGAAGCCACAGCAGACGCUGUUUAGUGUGUAUUUGUAAAUACCACUUCUUGGGAGGCUCCCAGGGUCUCCUGCCCCAGGUGCCCACAGCCUGGAGGCAGCACUUGUGUGGUGAGGGCUGCAGGGAGCCAGGGUGUGCCUGCAGGGAGCUGGAGUUGAAUGAUCCCGGCUAAACUCUGGGGAGCUGGAAGUUCUCCCAUCCAUACCUUUUGCAGUGAGUUGAGCUCUCUGUAGCCCAUCCAGCGUUCCCAGAAUGUUCAGCCUGUGCUGUUGUGCGCGGUGACAGGACGUGUGUUGGGAAUGUGAAUGACGGCGGGAGAGUAGCUCACCUUUGCCAGCAGCCUGGUGAUUUCAAAUUCACUCCCGUGUUACCCCAUCAGGGACAUCCAGAAAGCAGGGCUGAGCUCAUGAAAAAUUUCUACCACAGAUGCAAAACUUCAGAAUAAUUUUGUAGAUAUUCUGGUGCCAUGUGAUUUAUUUCCCUUGGGUUAAGGAGUUGGCUUUGUCUGACAGUUCUGUGUAGUUAACUGAAUUUAAAACACUCUUUAAAAAUCAGAGGUAAAGACAAGGCAGAGUGAAGGAAGGCUAUUAACCAUCCGAUAACUCGAUUGCCUUUUUCUUUGCUCUCGUGGUCUUUGUGAGUUCUAUUUGCUGGGCCAUGCUGGAGAUGGCUGAUCCCCAUCAGGGGCAGGGGUGGGCACAGCCCUGGUACUGUGCAGGCCCUGCCAGGGAAGCUGCUACUCCUUCGAAAUCCUCUUCUGGGUUUGAAAGUCCCUAACUCCUGCCAGGUCUCUUUUGAGGUGUGUUAGAUUAGAGCAAGUGUGGGGUUUCUUCCCCCUGUGGCCUGCAGUGCCCCCCUCCCCCCCGUGCCAGCAGUUGGCAGAGUCCCUUUGCUGCUGCUGCUGCCCUGGUGUUGAGCCCCGCGGUUCCCCAGAGGACGAGCCUCCCUUUGCAGAGGAUUUGGCGCGGGGGGAGGCGGAGCGGCGGCGAAGAGCGGCGAGGAGCGGCUGAAGGAGAUGGAGGCCGAGAUGGCGCUGUCAGCAGCGACAGCCUUGGAGGAGCCUCAGGAUUGCUCCCUGCAGUGAUCCCUGCUCCAGCCUUGGAAUACAGAGCAAAAACCCAGGGAAUGCUCCGUGCCUGCAGCUCUCCCGCUCUGGGCUGUGCCACCUCCACACAGCUUCUCCUGGGAAGUUCUCUGCAGCCCAGCACAGGAGGAUCCAGCUCUGCUCGCGGCCCUCUGCUCCUGGAGUCGUCGAGGAGCAGCUGCAACAAUUCCCCGAGUCCCA